UACGUAGGAGACGAGCGUUGUCCGGAAUUACUGGGCGUAAAGCGCGUGUAGGCGGAUGGGCAAGUCUGCUGUGAAAGCUCCUGGCUUAACCGGGAGUGGUCGGUGGAAACUGCCAAUCUGGAGGACGGUAGAGGUAGGUAGAAUUCCCCGGUGUAGUGGUGAAAUGCGUAGAGAUCGGGAGGAAUACCUGUGGCGAAGGCGGCCUACUGGGCCGGACCUGACGCUGAGACGCGAAGGCGUGGGGAGCGAACGGG
rnacentral:rRNA from 1 species